rnacentral:rRNA from 1 species
CAGAAAACUCAAAGGAAUGGAGGGCCCCUACGGGAAGCAGCAGUAGGGAAUCUUCCACAAUGGACGAAAGUCUGAUGGAGCAAUGCCGCGUGAGCGAAGAAGGUUUUCGGAUCGUAAAGCUCUGUUGUAAGGGAAGAACACGUACGGGAGUAACUGCCCGUGCUAUGACGGUACCUUAUUAGAAAGCCACGGCUAACUUCGUGCCAGCAGCCGCGGUAAUACGUAGGUGGCAAGCGUUGUCCGGAAUUAUUGGGCGUAAAGCGCGCGCAGGCGGUUCUUUAAGUCUGAUGUGAAAGCCCACGGCUCAACCGUGGAGGGUCAUUGGAAACUGGAGAACUUGAGUACAGAAGAGGAAAGCGGAAUUCCACGUGUAGCGGUGAAAUGCGUAGAGAUGUGGAGGAACACCAGUGGCGAAGGCGGCUUUCUGGUCCGUCACUGACGCUGAGGCGCGAAAGCGUGGGGAGCAAACAGGAUUAGAUACCCUGGUAGUCCACGCC